AUUGAACGCUGGCGGCAUGCCUUACACAUGCAAGUCGAGCGGCAGCGCGGGGGCAACCCUGGCGGCGAGCGGCGAACGGGUGAGUAAUGCAUCGGAACGUGUCCUCUUGUGGGGGAUAACCAGUCGAAAGACUGGCUAAUACCGCAUGAGCUCGAGAGAGGAAAGCAGGGGACCGCAAGGCCUUGCGCGAGAGGAGCGGCCGAUGCCGGAUUAGCUAGUUGGUGGGGUAACGGCCCACCAAGGCGACGAUCCGUAGCUGGUCUGAGAGGACGACCAGCCACACUGGGACUGAGACACGGCCCAGACUCCUACGGGAGGCAGCAGUGGGGAAUUUUGGAUAAUGGGGGCAACCCUGAUCCAGCCAUGCCGCGUGUGUGAAGAAGGCCUUCGGGUUGUAAAGCACUUUCGGCCGGAACGAAAUCGCGCGAGCUAACACCCCGCGUGGAUGACGGUACCGGAAGAAGAAGCACCGGCUAACUACGUGCCAGCCGCCGCCGUAA
rnacentral:rRNA from 1 species